rnacentral:lncRNA from 1 species
CACGGUUUCCCAUAACUUGUUUUGGGUUUUACUGUAUUUAAAAAGUUGUCUCCCAUGUAUAUGACAGGUGGGAUUAUUCAAAAGUCCGACAAUGGACUGGAAAGUGAAGUUGUUUGUUUGUUUGUGUGUUAGUUUAUUUAAUUGUUAUAUUUGUGAUGACCCCACUGCUACAGAUACCGUUUAUGAAGUCUUACAAAGGACGCAAGGAUUAUCAAAG